rnacentral:rRNA from 1 species
UUCCAGCUCCAAUAGCGUAUAUUAAAGUUGUUGCAGUUAAAAAGCUCGUAGUUGAAUUUCGGGACCAAUAUGUCGGUCGUACUUUGUACGUACUAGCAUUAUUGGUUUCUCCCUUCUGAAGAACCACGAUGUCAUUAAUUUGGUGUCGUGGGGAAUCAGGACUGUUACUUUGAAAAAAUUAGAGUGUUUAAAGCAGGCUCGCGCUUGAAUACAUUAGCAUGGAAUAAUGAAAUAGGACGUUUGAUUCUAUUUUGUUGGUUUCUAGGAUCGACGUAAUGAUUAAUAGGGAUAGUUGGGGGCAUUAGUAUUCAAUUGUCAGAGGUGAAAUUCUUGGAUUUAUUGAAGACUAACCACUGCGAAAGCAUUUGCCAAGGAUGUUUUCAUUAAUCAAGAACGAAAGUUAGGGGAUCGAAGACGAUCAGAUACCGUCGUAGUCUUAACCAUAAACUAUGCCGACUAGGGAUCGG